rnacentral:rRNA from 1 species
UGACCUCAAAUCGGGUGAGACUACCCGCUGAACUUGACCUCAAAUCGGGUGAGACUACCCGCUGAACUUAAGCAUAUCAAUAAGCGGAGGAAAAGAAACUAACAAGGAUUCCCCUAGUAACUGCGAGUGAAGCGGGAAAAGCUCAAAUUUAAAAUCUGGUGGCUUUUCUGCCAUCCGAGUGUAAUAGAGAAGCGACACCGCA